rnacentral:lncRNA from 1 species
UGUUUAGAUAGUAUUACUGUCCAUGAUACGAUUUUAGAAACCUUAGUAUUUCUUCCAAUAUCCGUAUCUAAAGUUAAUAUUGACAUAAGCAUAAAGGUUUAUUUUUCUGUUAAAACAACAAGAAGAAUUUGAAGACUGUUCAAAGUAUUGAGCAGAAUUCAUGGACACUUAAAACUGUGUUAGGCCUGCAUUUUCGUAGGAGGACAUUUCAAUAUCUUCUGGACCACAGCUGUUCAGUUGGGUAAUGGAUUGUGAUCAGAAUGGAAAAGAGAAAGUAACACUGACUUUCAAAGCUGACGCCCUGACUUUCUGCAGUCGUUAGCUAUAACUGGACCUCUUAAGACAGCAUGUGUCAACCUUAGUGUAUACUGUUAUCACUGUGGAGUUGCUGUUCACCUGCCGUGUAUCGCAUCGUUAUGUUCUGGAUUUAAAUAGAUUUCAGGCCCGGAUGGCCAAAAGACAGUUUGUCUUCUCCUUAAUUGAGAAGAGACAUUGUCUGGCUUAGUAAAAUUGUGAGUGUGAUUGUAAAUGUGUAUGUGUGUGUAUGUGUGUGUAUGUGUGUGUGUGCAUGUGUGUGUAUUCUAUCUUGCAACUGUUACAGCCAUGUCCCCACAGGAGAAAAACCGACCAAGUGUGAGACGUACCCCUUGCUGCACCCUUGCACAUGGAUUUAGUUGCUGCAAUUGAGCUCUUUGUGAAAUCCUGUUUAUAAAAAUUCUGACUGAAACUUCUCAGGAGUCUUCCCACCUAGGAGAUUGGGUUGAGAAUUCUCGUGACGUUUAGGUGUUCUGUAAGGCCAGCAGCGUUCAGCAAGAAGUAAUCAGUAAGAGGUGCUGGAAAGUAGAGGAGUCUCCCAGGGAGAGGAGAGUGUGGGGGAUGGUGGGCGCCUACUAUUAAUCAAAGUCCUUGCAAAUGGAAAUCAGUAAAGGGGGAUGGUUCUACGGCCUUCUUCAACCCCACCCCCACCCCCACAGUAGCAAGUUUCAAUGGUGCACAUCAGCAGUGCAAUCUCAGGUUAAGGAGCACCAUGCCAGUUACCAGGGCCAGGCCAUUUCAUGACAGAGGAUGAGUAGGACAGAGGAUAUAUAUAACAAAUGGGCAGUGAAAACCUGGUGACGGCCCAGUACCUGGCUCUGUUUAGAUGUUUGGGCAAAGCAAAAGGCAGUGCCUCUGCCUGCUGGUACCAAGAUGUGCCAAAACAUAAGGACAAGGGUGGCUAGCUUCGGUUCGACAUCUCUGCCAUGGUGCUCAAAAUUUGGGCCCUUUUUCCGAUAAAGAGAAGUAUUGCUUUUAAGAAGCCACUCACUCCUGAUAAAUUCUAUGUAGAGUCUCUCCUCAUACAGGUUCUCCCCCGUCCUGAGGACUGCAUAGCAUGAAGUGGAGAGCUAGUAUAUGCCUGUGAUUUCUAGUGUUUGGGGUUCCCAGUCUGAUGGGGCAGUGCCCCUUCUUGCAAUCAAUGUGACCUGAGGGCCAAGCUAGGAUAUAUCUAGAUUUUUUUUCCAGCUGAGUCUCUUGCUUUUCUUCUCUGUGCACAGAGGAGGACUCAAGAUGCUGGAGGAUUAGUAACUCCAUAGAGAAGGGUAUUGAUAGAAUACCACCAGGGGCUAGGAAUUGCCAGCCUCAUCCUACAUCCACCUGAAUAUCAAUCAUGUCUCUAGCUACCAGGCUGUACCACCUCUUCUCACAGCUACAAAGACCUGGUAGGACAUUCUAGGUAUAGUUAUUAAAAAAAAAAUCCAAGAUUCACUUUUAGAACUGUAUUUGUGUAAAUGCCAUUUUAGUGAUAAGAUUUUAUAGUGUAUUGAACUUUCAAGACCUAACUCAUAUUUAAUAAGCUAAGGGACAAUGGGGCUGAUAGCACUAAACUUGGUGCUUAUUGAUACUCUAAGAAAUAUCUGUGAAAUAUCAUCAUGUGUGCGUUAAGCUACCUUCAUUUAAAGGGACUUAAAAUUAGGUGGAUCCACUUUGGCUUUUCCCAUAUCAUUUCCUAACCAUAUUGACCAAAACCUUUUCCCCAGUGAGUAUUAGUCAUUAGAAUUACAUUCAUUAGUAUCAUUCAUUAACCAGCCCCUUAAUUAGAUUCAUUAAUUUAAAUG